ACCUGAGAUAGCUCAGUUGGUAGAGCAUGAGACUCUUAAUCUCAGGGUGGUGGGUUCAAGCCCCAUGUUGGGCA